ACUCAAAUGAAUAGACGGGGGCCCGCACAAGCAGUGGAGCAUGUGGUUUAAUUCGAUGCAACGCGAAGAACCUUACCUGGGUUUGAAAUGCAGAGGACGUUGCCAGAGAUGGCAAUUCCCGCAAGGGUCUUUGCACAGGUGCUGCAUGGCUGUCGUCAGCUCGUGCCGUGAGGUGUUGGGUUAAGUCCCGCAACGAGCGCAACCCUUAUCAUUAGUUGCCAACGUGAAAGACGGGGACUCUAAUGAGACUGCCUGGGUUAACCAGGAGGAAGGUGAGGAUGACGUCAAGUCCGCAUGGCCUUUAUAUCCAGGGCUACACACGUGCUACAAUGGUCGGUACAGAAGGCAGCGAAACCGCGAGGUGGAGCAAAUCCCCAAAGCCGAUCUCAGUUCAGAUUGUAGUCUGCAACUCGACUACAUGAAGUUGGAAUUGCUAGUAAUGGCGUGUCAGCAACAACGCCGUGAAUACGUUCCCGGGCCUUGCACACACCGCCCGU
rnacentral:rRNA from 1 species